rnacentral:rRNA from 1 species
AAUGAACGUUGGCGGCAUGGAUUAGGCAUGCAAGUCGAGCGAGAAGAGUUUUGAAGCUUGCUUUAGAACUCGGACAGCGGCGAAAGGGAGAGUAACGCGUAGUUAUGUGCCCUAGGGUCCGGAAUAGCCACGGGAAACUGUGGGUAAUGCCGGAUAACAUCCCCGGAUCAAAGGUGUGAUUCCGCCCUAGGAGCAGACUGCGUCCUACUAGCUAGUUGGUGGGGUAAUGGCCCACCAAGGCAAUGAUGGGUAGCGGGUGUGAGAGCAUGACCCGGCGCACUGGGACUGAGACACUGCCCAGACACCUACGGGUGGCUGCAGUCGAGAAUCUUCGGCAAUGGGCGAAAGCCUGACCGAGCGAUGCCGCGUGCGGGAUGAAGGCCCUCGGGUUGUAAACCGCUGUCGUAGGGGAGGAAGGUUCCGUGAAGAGCGGAAUUUGACCUAUCCUAGGAGGAAGUACGGGCUAAGUUCGUGCCAGCCGCCGCAGUAA